GAUGAAGAACGUAGCGAAAUGCGAUAAGUAAUGUGAAUUGCAGAAUUCAGUGAAUCAUCGAAUCUUUGAACGCACAUUGCGCCCAUUAGUAUUCUAGUGGGCAUGCCUGUUCGAGCGUCAUUUCAACCCUUAAGCCUAGCUUAGUAUUGGGAAUCGACUUUACUGUCGUUCCUCAAAUUCAACGGCGGAUUUAUAGCAAUCACUGAACGUAGUAAUUUUUUUCCUCGUUUUUGAAAUACUAUAAACCUCAGCCGCUAAACCCCCAAUUUUUUUAUGGUUGACCUCGGAUCAGGUAGGAAUACCCGCUGAACUUAAGCAUAUCAAUAAGCGGAGGA
rnacentral:misc_RNA from 1 species